rnacentral:rRNA from 1 species
UACGUAGGUGGCAAGCGUUGUCCGGAAUUAUUGGGCGUAAAGCGCGCGCAGGCGGUUUCUUAAGUCUGAUGUGAAAGCCCACGGCUCAACCGUGGAGGGUCAUUGGAAACUGGGGAACUUGAGUGCAGAAGAGGAGAGUGGAAUUCCACGUGUAGCGGUGAAAUGCGUAGAGAUGUGGAGGAACACCAGUGGCGAAGGCGACUCUCUGGUCUGUAACUGACGCUGAGGCGCGAAAGCGUGGGGAGCGAACAGGAUUAGAAACC